rnacentral:rRNA from 1 species
AUUGAACGCUGGCGGCAGGCUUAACACAUGCAAGUCGAGCGGAGAUGAGGUGCUUGCACCUUAUCUUAGCGGCGGACGGGUGAGUAAUGCUUAGGAAUCUGCCUAUUAGUGGGGGACAACAUUCCGAAAGGAAUGCUAAUACCGCAUACGCCCUACGGGGGAAAGCAGGGGAUCUUCGGACCUUGCGCUAAUAGAUGAGCCUAAGUCGGAUUAGCUAGUUGGUGGGGUAAAGGCCUACCAAGGCGACGAUCUGUAGCGGGUCUGAGAGGAUGAUCCGCCACACUGGGACUGAGACACGGCCCAGACUCCUACGGGAGGCAGCAGUGGGGAAUAUUGGACAAUGGGGGGAACCCUGAUCCAGCCAUGCCGCGUGUGUGAAGAAGGCCUUAUGGUUGUGAAGCACUUUAAGCGAGGAGGAGGCUACUGAGACUAAUACUCUUGGAUAGUGGACGUUACUCGCAGAAUAAGCACCGGCUAACUCUGUGCCAGCCGCCGCCGUAACAC